UCCAAAAGAAACAGCUUCACCAUUUUGCGCCACAAAAAAAAAAAAAAAACAGCGUAAUUUCCUCGCCCUUUUCCAUCUGGAAAAAAAUAUAUUCCUACUAAUAGAAUGAAUUCAGCCUCAUUCUAUGCCCCUUUAAGGAAGAAGAGGGUAGAAAUAACUCUUCCAGUUGAACAUAGUGAGGACGAGUUACAGUUAAGUAGUGAUGAUGACGAGCUGCAAGAAUACUUGCCAGGAGAAAGUGAGACUGAUGAGGAGGAUGAGGAGGAUCAGAGUGAGAAUCAGGAUGAGGAUGGGAGUGAAGGUGAAAGUACAGAGACAGAAGCAAUAGAAAAGGCCAAGAAUCUGGGAUGGAAAAAAUGCAGGCACAUCCUUCCAGUCCAACAAUGGAAAGGCAGCCUCCCCAAAGCCACAAAAGUGAAGACUCCAAUUGAAUACUUUAGGGAUGAUCUACUAACCCACGACUGCAUUGAAAACAUGGUCAAGCAAACAAAUCUAAAUCCCAAAUCGGCUCGCAGGGUGCAGCUUCUCCACGGACAAGGACAUGAAGAAGAAGGGCCGGGGAACCUUUGAAGAGAAAGCUGCAAACCAUGAUGGAGUCCAGCUCACAACAAUAGUCGUGCUGUCCACCUCCUGUCCACAUUUGCCUCAGCCCACCCAACAACUUCUGUCCAAAGAUGGGAUAGGGGCAUGGGAUUAUAUAGCACUUUGAAUUGCCUCCGGGUCUGAAAUGUGCUGUAAACUUGCCUUGCCAGGUUACCUGCCCAGCUAUUGCCAAGACAUAUAACAAAAGCAAGGGAAGUGGUACCACAGGAUCGUGUCCCACAUGCUGGAUUUCACUGUAGUCAAUGCGUGGCUCUUGUAACGCAGGGAUUGCAUGGACUGCGGCCAGAGGAAAAGUCAGUACAGCUUGCCGAAAUUCAAAGCUGAAGUUGCAGCUUGCCUUUGCAAUGAAAGGAAGGUUCUGAGGAAAAGGGGAAGACCAUCAACCAAUGGAGACCUGGCUGAGAAGAGGCACAGAGGCCCUACUUCAACAGUGCCAUCACCACCUGUGCGUCAGGACAACACUGACCACUGGCCUAUUUGGGUGGAGAAAAAGGGGCAGGUGCAAAUACCCUGGAUGCAAGGGUAUUGAAAGUCCAGUGCACAAAAUGUGUCACAUACCUGUGCUUCACUCCCGAAAAUAACUGCUUCAUGGAGUUCGAUAAGCACUGAGCAGCAGUGGACAGCACAGAUGGAUGUGAGGAAAGACACGGGACUGACAGGACUGUUUUGCAAUCUUUGUUUUGAUAAAUAGUUUGUUUCAAGUUCGAAGAUUUACACUUAAGACUGUUCAAGACGUUCAUUUCAAUGGGUUGAUGGUGCAAUGGUACUAACUGGCAUCAUAAUGCGUACCAUAGAGGGUUAAACAGGUUUUUUUCCAGUGAAAACGUCAAAAUAAGUUAAAUUCUGUCACACAAACUUUCCGACCUUCGUUGUUUUUUGGUACUUUCUGUGUUCCAGGACGUUAUUGUCCUUUGUGGCCAGUAGGAUGCUCUGAAGUAUCACCUCAUCAGUUCAACUCUAACAAAAGGUCACUGUGGUAUUGUGAGCAGACACUUCCAAACCCACACUGACACAUUCUUGCCAAAUAUCCUCUGGUUUCGUUUCCUCGCUGAGAUGGAAAGUUUUUGAGAAACUCUUGAUGGAAGGUGAAAGGGACAGAUUGGCCCUCGGGGAUGAGAUCUGUUUCUCCAGCUUCCUUCAUCCAAACCUGCAACCAAGAGUGACGGAGAGCUGACACUGCAGCGUCUCUGUCUGUCUGUCUAUGUCUGCGUCUGCCUGUCAUAUCACACUGUUGUUCUUUUCUCAACAGGCAGCACUUAAACAGACUUCUGUGUCUGGGAGGGACUGAAAAAGACCAUAAAUAAAACCUGUUUUGGGGCUGAAAUGAGAUGUUUGCAUGUGCACACACUGGAGUCAAGAUCUCUGUUAGCUCACAAGUUAAUUUGAUUUAAAUUGUGUUGAAACAAACACUGCACUGUGGCCUGUGUCCAGAAAUAAUUCACUAUUAUUUCACACUGUGUGUAUAAGGAAUUACAUAGUGUGUUGUAGGGCAAAAAAACAAAACAAUUUCAGCGUUUAAAUUUGCCUUUUCUCUGUCUAUGCAAUCAGUGUUGGGUCAGAUUACUCUAACAUUAUACAGCAAUUAUUGUAAUUAGAAACAUAAUCCAGUGGGUUACAAAACAAUAUAAUCUAAUCUGAAUACUUCUGGAUUAAAUCAAAAUCAAAUACUAAUAUAUUGAACUUUCCGUAGUUCUCACUAUACAAAAACACAAUAAAACAGUAAUAAUAAUAUCUAUAUAUCAAUAAUCUAGUGUGUUAGCCAACUCACACAGUGUUUGCAAGUUGCUGUAUGUAUAAAAUAUCCAUACUUUUGCAGUAUUAAUACAAUAAUUAUUAAAUUUG